rnacentral:rRNA from 1 species
GGAAAAAUAUACCUUUUAAGUAUGACCUAUCUUUGAUCUCUGAAGCUAAGCCGGUUUGGGCCUGGUCAGUAUUUGGAUGGGAGACCGCUGGACCACCAGGUGUUGUGUCCU